GGGUUGUGAGGUUAAGCGACUAAGCGUACACGGUGGAUGCCCUGGCAGUCAGAGGCGAUGAAGGACGUGCUAAUCUGCGAUAAGCGCCGGUAAGGUGAUAUGAACCGUUAUAACCGGCGAUUUCCGAAUGGGGAAACCCAGUGUGAUUCGUCACACUAUCAUUAACUGAAUCCAUAGGUUAAUGAGGCGAACCGGGGGAACUGAAACAUCUAAGUACCCCGAGGAAAAGAAAUCAACCGAGAUUCCCCCAGUAGCGGCGAGCGAACGGGGAGGAGCCCAGAGCCUGAAUCAGCAUGUGUGUUAGUGGAAGCGUCUGGAAAGGCGCGCGAUACAGGGUGACAGCCCCGUACACAAAAGCGCAUGUGCUGUGAGCUCGAUGAGUAGGGCGGGACACGUGGUAUCCUGUCUGAAUAUGGGGGGACCAUCCUCCAAGGCUAAAUACUCCUGACUGACCGAUAGUGAACCAGUACCGUGAGGGAAAGGCGAAAAGAACCCCGGCGAGGGGAGUGAAAAAGAACCUGAAACCGUGUACGUACAAGCAGUGGGAGCACAGGUUUACCUGUGUGACUGCGUACCUUUUGUAUAAUGGGUCAGCGACUUAUAUUCUGUAGCAAGGUUAACCGUAUAGGGGAGCCGUAGGGAAACCGAGUCUUAACCGGGCGUUAAGUUGCAGGGUAUAGACCCGAAACCCGGUGAUCUAGCCAUGGGCAGGUUGAAGGUUGGGUAACACUAACUGGAGGACCGAACCGACUAAUGUUGAAAAAUUAGCGGAUGACCUGUGGCUGGGGGUGAAAGGCCAAUCAAACCGGGAGAUAGCUGGUUCUCCCCGAAAGCUAUUUAGGUAGCGCCUCGUGAAUUCAUCUCCGGGGGUAGAGCACUGUUUCGGCUAGGGGGCCAUCCCGGCUUACCAACCCGAUGCAAACUGCGAAUACCGGAGAAUGUUAUCACGGGAGACACACGGCGGGUGCUAACGUCCGUCGUGAAGAGGGAAACAACCCAGACCGCCAGCUAAGGUCCCAAAGUCAUGGUUAAGUGGGAAACGAUGUGGGAAGGCCCAGACAGCCAGGAUGUUGGCUUAGAAGCAGCCAUCAUUUAAAGAAAGCGUAAUAGCUCACUGGUCGAGUCGGCCUGCGCGGAAGAUGUAACGGGGCUAAACCAUGCACCGAAGCUGCGGCAGCGACGCUUAUGCGUUGUUGGGUAGGGGAGCGUUCUGUAAGCCUGCGAAGGUGGCCUGUGAGGGUUGCUGGAGGUAUCAGAAGUGCGAAUGCUGACAUAAGUAACGAUAAAGCGGGUGAAAAGCCCGCUCGCCGGAAGACCAAGGGUUCCUGUCCAACGUUAAUCGGGGCAGGGUGAGUCGACCCCUAAGGCGAGGCCGAAAGGCGUAGUCGAUGGGAAACGGGUUAAUAUUCCCGUACUUGGUGUUACUGCGAAGGGGGGACGGAGAAGGCUAUGUUGGCCGGGCGACGGUUGUCCCGGUUUAAGCGUGUAGGUGUGUGUUCCAGGUAAAUCCGGUUCACUUUAACACUGAGGCGUGACGACGAGGCACUACGGUGCUGAAGCAACAAAUGCCCUGCUUCCAGGAAAAGCCUCUAAGCAUCAGGUAACAUCAAAUCGUACCCCAAACCGACACAGGUGGUCAGGUAGAGAAUACCAAGGCGCUUGAGAGAACUCGGGUGAAGGAACUAGGCAAAAUGGUGCCGUAACUUCGGGAGAAGGCACGCUGACACGUAGGUGAAGUGAUUUACUCAUGGAGCUGAAGUCAGUCGAAGAUACCAGCUGGCUGCAACUGUUUAUUAAAAACACAGCACUGUGCAAACACGAAAGUGGACGUAUACGGUGUGACGCCUGCCCGGUGCCGGAAGGUUAAUUGAUGGGGUCAGCGCAAGCGAAGCUCCUGAUCGAAGCCCCGGUAAACGGCGGCCGUAACUAUAACGGUCCUAAGGUAGCGAAAUUCCUUGUCGGGUAAGUUCCGACCUGCACGAAUGGCGUAAUGAUGGCCAGGCUGUCUCCACCCGAGACUCAGUGAAAUUGAACUCGCUGUGAAGAUGCAGUGUACCCGCGGCAAGACGGAAAGACCCCGUGAACCUUUACUAUAGCUUGACACUGAACAUUGAGCCUUGAUGUGUAGGAUAGGUGGGAGGCUUUGAAGCGUGGACGCCAGUCUGCGUGGAGCCGACCUUGAAAUACCACCCUUUAAUGUUUGAUGUUCUAACGUGGACCCGUAAUCCGGGUUGCGGACAGUGUCUGGUGGGUAGUUUGACUGGGGCGGUCUCCUCCUAAAGAGUAACGGAGGAGCACGAAGGUUGGCUAAUCCUGGUCGGACAUCAGGAGGUUAGUGCAAUGGCAUAAGCCAGCUUGACUGCGAGCGUGACGGCGCGAGCAGGUGCGAAAGCAGGUCAUAGUGAUCCGGUGGUUCUGAAUGGAAGGGCCAUCGCUCAACGGAUAAAAGGUACUCCGGGGAUAACAGGCUGAUACCGCCCAAGAGUUCAUAUCGACGGCGGUGUUUGGCACCUCGAUGUCGGCUCAUCACAUCCUGGGGCUGAAGUAGGUCCCAAGGGUAUGGCUGUUCGCCAUUUAAAGUGGUACGCGAGCUGGGUUUAGAACGUCGUGAGACAGUUCGGUCCCUAUCUGCCGUGGGCGCUGGAGAACUGAGGGGGGCUGCUCCUAGUACGAGAGGACCGGAGUGGACGCAUCACUGGUGUUCGGGUUGUCAUGCCAAUGGCACUGCCCGGUAGCUAAAUGCGGAAGAGAUAAGUGCUGAAAGCAUCUAAGCACGAAACUUGCCCCGAGAUGAGUUCUCCCUGAGACUUAGAGUCUCCUGAAGGAACGUUGAAGACGACGACGUUGAUAGGCCGAGUGUGUAAGCGCAGCGAUGCGUUGAGCUAACCGGUACUAAUGAACCGUGAGGCUUAACCUUACAACGCCGAAG
rnacentral:rRNA from 2 species